ACAUAACACCAAAACAACCACAGUCCAACAAUUGCAUCAAAAAUACACACAUUUCCCCCAGACCCCCCCAAAACAACCUUAAAACACGAAACCACAUCCAACACCACAGAGACUCCCGAAUCAUCCACACAUAAUUCCGGUUCCCCAAAACCACCAUAGUCCCUCUAAGGAACCACAUAACAUUAACAGAUCCCCAAAACCACCACCACAGCCAAAACCACCAGAGACCCCCCCAACACAACCAUUAACCCCAGAAGAACCGUAGACCGGUAGAACCUCCAGACCUCCUGAAACCACAGAGAGAACAUCCAGGUUCUCCAUCUGACCUCCUGCUUCUGUUUGUGUUUUUCUUCAGAUGUCCAGAGACAUGGAGAUUUUGUUGAGAACCACUUACUUUGGAGUUAUCAUGAUGCUGAACCCGGCUCUGGCGGAUGCUCCGAUCUCUCUGCAGAUCGCCGUAAACUCGCCCCCAAAAACUACCAUCAGAACGACCGGGGCAACGGUUGUCAUGACAGCCAUCGUCAAGGUCUUGUUGCUUCCUCCAGGACUGGCUCCAUUCCAGUUGAGCAGCAUGACCAUGG